rnacentral:rRNA from 1 species
AUUGAACGCUGGCGGCAUGCUUUACACAUGCAAGUCGAACGGUAACAGGCCUUCGGGCGCCGACGAGUGGCGAACGGGUGAGUAAUGCAUCGGAACGUGCCCAGUCGUGGGGGAUAACGCAGCGACAGCUGUGCUAAUACCGCCUACGAUCUGCGGAUGAAAGCGGGGGACCUUCGGGUCGCGCGCGAUUGGAGCGGCCGAUGUCAGAUUAGGUAGUUGGUGGGGUAAAGGCUCACCAAGCCAACGAUCUGUAGCUGGUCUGAGAGGACGACCAGCCACACUGGGACUGAGACACGGCCCAGACUCCUACGGGAGGCAGCAGUGGGGAAUUUUGGACAAUGGGCGCAAGCCUGAUCCAGCAAUGCCGCGUGCAGGAAGAAGGCCUUCGGGUUGUAAACUGCUUUUGUACGGAGCGAAAAGGCUCCCUCUAAUACAGGGGGCUCAUGACGGUACCGUAAGAAUAAGCACCGGCUAACUACGUGCCAGCCGCCGCCGUAAGAC